UAUCCCCUUUUUGCUGCCCCAAAAUUCUUCCCCUUAACUCAUUUUCUUGGCUGCACCAGACAGAAAGUCCAGCCCUCUUUCCCUACUCUUUUCCUUGUUCUUUGUUUCUUUCUUCUCCCCUUCUUACAUGGCAGCCCUCCCUCUCUCACCAAAACAAAAUAUCCCUCUCUAAAGAAGAAAUUCUAGGGUUAACACUAAAAUUUCAGCUUCAAAUUGUUGGGGUGUUACCAGUUCCCGAGGUUUAAGCUCUGUCGACUGUAGGCUCUCGGUUCCUUUGCUUUCAGUUAGCAGGUUUUAUUUUGGAGUAGAGGGAGC